rnacentral:rRNA from 1 species
GACGAACGCUGGCGGCGUGCUUAACACAUGCAAGUCGUACGGUAAGGCCCUUUCGGGGGUACACGAGUGGCGAACGGGUGAGUAACACGUGAGUAACCUGCCCACAACUUUGGGAUAACGCUAGGAAACUGGUGCUAAUACUGGAUAUGCGCUCCUGCUGCAUGGUGGGGGUUGGAAAGCUCCGGCGGUUGUGGAUGGACUCGCGGCCUAUCAGCUUGUUGGUGGGGUAGUGGCCUACCAAGGCGGCGACGGGUAGCCGGCCUGAGAGGGUGACCGGCCACAUUGGGACUGAGAUACGGCCCAGACUCCUACGGGAGGCAGCAGUGGGGAAUAUUGCACAAUGGGCGCAAGCCUGAUGCAGCAACGCCGCGUGCGGGAUGACGGCCUUCGGGUUGUAAACCGCUUUCAGCAGGGACGAAGCUUUUUGUGACGGUACCUGCAGAAGAAGCACCGGCUAACUACGUG